rnacentral:rRNA from 1 species
UGCGGAGGAUCAUUAACGUAACCGGACUGGUACGUUCGCCGUAAAACGCAGCGGAUCGGAAAGGGAGAUAUCAUACACCCUAUAUUUAUUUUACCUUUGUUGCUUUGGCGGGCCGUUCUUUUAGGCGUCGGCCCCGGCUGAUCGCGCCCGCCAGAGGACCCAAACUCUUUUAUUAGUGAUGUCUGAGUACUAUAUAAAUAGUUAAAACUUUCAACAACGGAUCUCUUGGUUCUGGCAUCGAUGAAGAACGCAGCGAAAUGCGAUAAGUAAUGUGAAUUGCAGAAUUCAGUGAAUCAUCGAAUCUUUGAACGCACAUUGCGCCCGCUGGUAUUCCGGCGGGCAUGCCUGUUCGAGCGUCAUUAUGACCAAUCAAGCUCUGCUUGGCUUUGGGGCCCGCUGUACCGGCGGCCCUUAAAACUAGUGGCGGUGCCGUCUGGCUCUAAGCGUAGUAAUACUUCUCGCUAUAGUGUCUAGGCGUUCACCCGCCAGAACCUCCAACUUUCUUAGGUUGACCUCGGAUCAGGUAGGGAUACCCGCUGAACUUAAGCAUAUC